ACACACGUGUUACAAUGGCAGGUACAGAGGGGUGCUACCGGGUGACCGGAUGCCGAUCUCGAAAACCUGUCCCAGUUCGGACUGGAGUCUGCAACCCGACUCCACGAAGUUGGAUUCGCUAGUAAUCGCGCAUCAGCCAUGGCGCGGUGAAUACGUUCCCGGGCCUUGUACACACCGCCCGUCAAGCCAUGGGAGCCGGGGGGCGCCUGAAGUCCGGGACCGCGAGGACCGGCCUAGGGCGAAACUGGUGACUGGGGCUAAGUCGUAACAAGGUAAC
rnacentral:rRNA from 1 species